AUGGCCGAGCAGCCUCAGUCACAGCAGAUGAAAACUUCCUUCCUUUUCAUCCAGCUGCAGCCCCCACCAACCCGAGCUACCCAAACUCUCCCCGCCCCUUCUCCAGCCACCGCGGUCUCAACAGCAGCCCCAGGGGGCCUGGAGGAGGGACACAUUUUCCCAAGUCCCAGAACAAGCUUCUUCUCUGCUCCCUGGAACUUCAGAUGUACACAGGGCUCAGCUACUUCGCCUUCCAGCCUGCUGCCCGGGGAAGGCCCUGGAAAACUGAGACCAGCUGCUUUCAAUUGCUACUCACUGAAGGAAAAGAAGGAAGAAACAGAGAAAUCUCAGAAUCUGCAUGUAAAGAGGAGUGGGGUUUGUGGAUCCCCACGUAGUAGUAGGCAUUGCCUGGUUCCUGCUUCUAGGAAACUUGGCCUACCACAACAGCUGCCAUGUGGGCUUGCUAGCCCAGCUCCUACACUGAGUGAUGGAAACAGCAGUCCUUCCAUAGGCUGGAAGCACUGGCCAGUCAUUUCUGCCCACGAGGACCUGUGGGAUAUGGACCCAGAAGCCAGGAAUGUCAUCGAAUUUUCAGUUCCACAAAGCACCCGGUCCUAUGCAGCUGACAGGGGCAAAAGGGCACUCCAGAGGAGAGAGACUGUAAACCAAGAGGUACUCCCAACGAACUGUGCCGAAGACCUAGUUACCACAGCGCUGGCAGUAAGGGCACAGCUCUUCAGAUAUUGCCCGACCCUUCAGAUCAGCCAGAGCUGCCGGGCCCCACCUGCUGCUGUGCCUCUCAAGAAAUUGGGGUUGGUAUUUCUAGUUUCAGAUAUAAGAAUUAAAGUGUGG
rnacentral:lncRNA from 1 species